CCUACGGGAGGCAGCAGUAGGGAAUCUUGCGCAAUGGGCGAAAGCCUGACGCAGCCAUGCCGCGUGAAUGAUGAAGGUCUUAGGAUUGUAAAAUUCUUUCACCGGGGACGAUAAUGACGGUACCCGGAGAAGAAGCCCCGGCUAACUUCGUGCCAGCAGCCGCGGUAAUACGAAGGGGGCUAGCGUUGCUCGGAAUUACUGGGCGUAAAGGGCGCGUAGGCGGAUAGUUUAGUCAGAGGUAAAAGCCCAGGGCUCAACCUUGGAACUGCCUUUGAUACUGGCUAUCUUGAGUACGGGAGAGGUGUGUGGAACUCCGAGUGUAGAGGUGAAAUUCGUAGAUAUUCGGAAGAACACCAGUGGCGAAGGCGACACACUGGCCCGUUAACUGACGCUGAGGCGCGAAAGCGUGGGGAGCAAACAGGAUUAGAUACCCUGGUAGUCCACGCCGUAAACGAUGAGUGCUAGUUGUCGGCAUGCAUGCAUGUCGGUGACGCGAGCUACGACAUUAAGUACACUCCGCCGUCGGGGUAGGUACGGUCGGCGAAGAAUUAAACUUAACAAACUAGAAGUUAGUACGGCGUGAGACGUGCCGACGGACGACGACGACGGGAGGUAGG
rnacentral:rRNA from 1 species